rnacentral:rRNA from 1 species
UACGGAGGAUGCGAGCGUUAUCCGGAUUUAUUGGGUUUAAAGGGUGCGUAGGCGGGAUGCCAAGUCAUCGGUAAAAAUGCGGUGCUCAACGCCGUCGAGCCGUUGAAACUGGCGUUCUUGAGUGGGCGAGAAGUAUGCGGAAUGCGUGGUGUAGCGGUGAAAUGCAUAGAUAUCACGCAGAACUCCGAUUGCGAAGGCGGCAUACCGGCGCCCUACUGACGCUGAGGCACGAAAGCGUGGGUAUCGAACAGG